CCUACGGGUGGCAGCAGUGGGGAAUAUUGCGCAAUGGGCGAAAGCCUGACGCAGCGACGCCGCGUGAGGGAUGAAGGUCUUCGGAUCGUAAACCUCUGUCAGCAGGGAAGAACGGUCACUGUGCUAAUCAGCAGUGAAUUGCCGGUACCUGCAAAGGAAGCACCGGCUAACUCCGUGCCAGCAGCCGCGGUAAUACGGCGGGUGCGAGCGUUAAUCGGAAUUACUGGGCGUAAAGCGCGCGUAGGCGGUAUGUCAAGGCAAGGGGGAAAUCCCCGCGCUCAACGUGGGAACUGCCUUUGAAACUGGCAAACUGGAGUGUGUGAGAGGAUAGUGGAAUGCCAGGUGUAGGAGUGAAAUCCGUAGAUAUCUGGAGGAACAUCAGUGGCGAAGGCGACUAUCUGGCACAUAACUGACGCUGAGGAGCGAAAGCGUGGGUAGCAAACAGGAUUAGAUACCCGAGUAGUC
rnacentral:rRNA from 1 species